rnacentral:misc_RNA from 1 species
GAAAUGCGAUAAGUAAUGUGAAUUGCAGAAUUCAGUGAAUCAUCGAAUCUUUGAACGCACCUUGCGCUCCUUGGUAUUCCGAGGAGCAUGCCUGUUUGAGUGUCAUGAAAUUCUCAACCUACAAAUCUUUGCGGGUUUGUAGGCUUGGACUUGGAGGUUUUUGUUGGCUUCUCGCAAGUCGGCUCCUCUUAAAUGCAUUAGCCUGUUUCCUUGCGGAUCGGCUCUCGGUGUGAUAAUUAUCUGCGCCGCGACCGUGAAGCGUUUGGCUGGCUUCUAAUUGUCUCGCUCAAGAGACAGCUUAUUUAUUAUGACCUCUGACCUCAAAUCAGGUAGGACUACCCGCUGAACUUAA